rnacentral:sRNA from 1 species
AUAAAAACCAAGAGAUAAAAAGGCGCGCUGGUCGACUGCGAGACAGCAUUCACACGGCACGAGGUAAAAUGAUCAACCGAAAAGUUGAGGACUACACUAUUUAAUGGAAGACAUUUAGUCAAAGGAUUUAUUUCCCCCAAAACUGAAUGCAAUAAAGUCUUAUGCUACUGUAAACAUCAAAAGAAACUCAAUUCAAAAUAUUUGAAUCCAAGAACAAAGUUAAAAUUAUUUGAUCUACUACAAGUAAACGUGAACUUAAAACGUAAAAUGGCGUCAUCAUUUCUUGCCUAUAACGUCAUCCUAUUUGCUGUAUGUCUGUCUUUCGCCGUGGCUACUUUUGACAUCGAGGAAGAUGUGAACGACUAUCCAGACCAAGAAAAACGUACCUACGCGACCACGGACGCCACACUGGAGACAAUAUUGAACGUACUAAAAUCUCACGCGCAGUCCUUACGUCAGCUGGAGUCGACGGUAUACGAACAGAAACGAAGUGGCUUCCGGAGCAGGUCCGGAGACGACCUUCUCGGCGGAGUUAAACGAAGGAUGGUGUGGCAGCCUCUCGGCUACCUGCCUGCCUCUAUUCGUGUGCAACACGGAAGCCAGGGACCUCAGAGACCUGAAAUGCAAGACACCGGAUCUAGUGUAUUUAGAUAUGGUUAAACAUCACAUGCAUAUAUUUUCAGGGUAAAACUUCUUUAUAUAUAUUUUGUUCUUACGGAAAUCAAAUAACUUUUUUUUUCAAAAUAGGUCUAAGAGAUGUUUUACUUAUUAUGCUGUAAACGUUUUGCAAGUCAAUUAUUUAUAGUCUUAAAUAGUCUACGUCGUCCAUACAAUUUUUUAUUUUUUUUAUUAUUAUUUUGUUUUGCUACUAGUUCAUAAGCAAUCCAUUCAUUUGACUAGUCCGGUGCUUGUAAAUGAUGAAGAUAUUUGCUGAAAGAUAAUAAAUGAUCUAAGAAGAAUUUA